AUUGAACGCUGGCGGCAGGCCUAACACAUGCAAGUCGAGCGGUAGAGAGGUGCUUGCACCUCUUGAGAGCGGCGGACGGGUGAGUAAUACCUAGGAAUCUGCCUGGUAGUGGGGGAUAACGUUCGGAAACGGACGCUAAUACCGCAUACGUCCUACGGGAGAAAGCAGGGGACCUUCGGGCCUUGCGCUAUCAGAUGAGCCUAGGUCGGAUUAGCUAGUUGGUGAGGUAAUGGCUCACCAAGGCUACGAUCCGUAACUGGUCUGAGAGGAUGAUCAGUCACACUGGAACUGAGACACGGUCCAGACUCCUACGGGAGGCAGCAGUGGGGAAUAUUGGACAAUGGGCGAAAGCCUGAUCCAGCCAUGCCGCGUGUGUGAAGAAGGUCUUCGGAUUGUAAAGCACUUUAAGUUGGGAGGAAGGGCAUUAACCUAAUACGUUAGUGUUUUGACGUUACCGACAGAAUAAGCACCGGCUAACUCUGUGCCAGCAGCCGCGGUAAUACAGAGGGUGCAAGCGUUAAUCGGAAUUACUGGGCGUAAAGCGCGCGUAGGUGGUUUGUUAAGUUGAAUGUGAAAUCCCCGGGCUCAACCUGGGAACUGCAUCCAAAACUGGCAAGCUGGAGUAUGGUAGAGGGUAGUGGAAUUUCCUGUGUAGCGGUGAAAUGCGUAGAUAUAGGAAGGAACACCAGUGGCGAAGGCGACUACCUGGACUGAUACUGACACUGAGGUGCGAAAGCGUGGGGAGCAAACAGGAUUAGGUACCCUGGUAGUCCACGCCGUAAACGAUGUCAACUAGCCGUUGGGAGUCUUGAACUCUUAGUGGCGCAGCUAACGCAUUAAGUUGACCGCCUGGGGAGUACGGCCGCAAGGUUAAAACUCAAAUGAAUUGACGGGGGCCCGCACAAGCGGUGGAGCAUGUGGUUUAAUUCGAAGCAACGCGAAGAACCUUACCAGGCCUUGACACCCAAUGAACUUUCUAGAGAUAGAUUGGUGCCUUCGGGAACAUUGAGACAGGUGCUGCAUGGCUGUCGUCAGCUCGUGUCGUGAGGUGUUGGGUUAAGUCCCGUAACGAGCGCAACCCUUGUCCUUAGUUACCAGCACGUAAUGGUGGGCACUCUAAGGAGACUGCCGGUGACAAACCGGAGGAAGGUGGGGAUGACGUCAAGUCAUCAUGGCCCUUACGGCCUGGGCUACACACGUGCUACAAUGGUCGGUACAAAGGGUUGCCAAGCCGCGAGGUGGAGCUAAUCCCAUAAAACCGAUCGUAGUCCGGAUCGCAGUCUGCAACUCGACUGCGUGAAGUCGGAAUCGCUAGUAAUCGUGAAUCAGAAUGUCACGGUGAAUACGUUCCCGGGCCU
rnacentral:rRNA from 1 species